AUGGAACAAGUAGUUGAGGAAGAGGAAGAGGAAGUCUACUUACCUGAUGACAUCAUGCCCACCUAUGAGAAAGAAGCAGUGAUGUUUGAAUAUAAGAAGAGAAAGACUUCAAAAAAGCAGGGAUCCUGGGGACCAGUACAAGCUGCUAGAAAAAGCAACAGAGUGAAAGACAACUUACCCAUCAUGGAGAAGGCUGAGCUGCUCAAAAUGAGGAAAAACUUGGAGAUUCCAAAAACAACAGUGAGAGGUCUGGCAGAAGAUAAGUUCAUACUUGGGGGACUGGACGAAACUGCACAAAGAGCUACAGGAAGGGGUGAUGAAACUCUUCAGAGACCACAUGUUGAGAAAGCUGAGAUCACCGCUGGAACUGGAACCAGACUGAGAUGCUGUGAAACUGCGGAACAACUUUCCUGGUCCAAAAACAUCCACGGGAUGUCACAUGGAGGGCGUGCUACCCUGGAGCAAGUAAAAGAGAACCCAAGGCUAGUGGAAGAAGUUCAUGUGGUCUUCUUCCCAAUGAGCUGA
rnacentral:rRNA from 1 species